rnacentral:rRNA from 1 species
CAGUAGCCGCGGGAAUACGAGGGGGGCAAGCGUUGUUCGGAAUUAUUGGGCGUAAAGGGCGCGUAGGCGGUUUGGCAAGUUUGGUGUGAAAUCUUCGGGCUCAACUCGAAGUCUGCAUCGAAAACUGCCGGGCUUGAGUAUGGGAGAGGUGAGUGGAAUUUCCGGUGUAGCGGUGAAAUGCGUAGAUAUCGGAAGGAACACCUGUGGCGAAAGCGGCUCACUGGACCAUUACUGACGCUGAGGCGCGAAAGCUAGGGGAGCAAACAGGAUUAGAUACCCCCGUAGUCCCUGUCUCUUAUAC